UUUGACUUUUUCUUUUAUAAGAUGUAUGCCUUUAUUUCUUUUUCCUUAUUUCAUUGCACUGGCCAGUAAAACAUUAAAUAGAAGUGAUGUGAUCAGAAAUAUUGCCUACAUUGAGUGUGGUUCUUAAAAUAGACACUCUUUAUCAGAUUGAGGAAGUUCUAUUCUUAGAUAACAGAGUUUUUUAACCACUGGAUGUUGAGUUUUGUCAAAUGCUUUCUUGUACUUUUUGAAAUGAUCACAUGGUUUUGCUAUCUAAUGUUUCAGCAACCUUAUAUUCCAGGAAUGAGCUAAUUUAGUCAUAGCUUUCUAUAUAAACUUCUGUUAAAGAUUAUUUGUGUCUAGGAUGGGUGCAGUGGUGCACGCCUGUAAUCCCAGUGGCUUGGGAGGCUGAGGCAGGAGGAUUGUGAAUUCAAAGCCAGUCUCAGCAAUUUAACAAGGCUCUAAGCAACUUAGCAAGCCACAACUUAGCAAGUCUCUAAAUAAAUAUAAAGCAGGCUGGGGAUGUAGCUCAAGGAUUAAGUGCACCUGAGUUUAAUCCCCAGUACCAAAAGUGGGGGAAAUACUUUAUAUGUUUAUGUCAAUGAGGAGUUUUGGUCUAAUUUAUUUUUUGAAUUUUUUUUAUCUAUUAUUUUUAUAAGGCUAAUGAUUGCCUCCUAUACUGAAUCAAGUUUAAAAAAAAUAUUCUGGAGGAGUUUGUGUAGAAGUUCUAAUAUCUUUGCUUUACAUGUUUGGUAGAAUUCACCAGUUAUGUUAUCUGAGCCUGGAGUGGUUUUUUUUGUAGGAAGAUUUCAAACUUCAAACUAUUUCUUUAAAUAGAUUCAGGGGUGUCUGGGUUAUCGAUUUUUGAGUGAUCUUUGGUUGUUUAUAUUUUUCAAGGAACUUAUCCAUUUUAUCUGAAUUGUUGGAUUUGUUGGCAUGAAAUUAUUCAUAAUAUAUUCUUAUUUUUUUUGUGGGGGGGGGUACCAGGGAUUGAACUCAGGGGCACUCAACCACUGAGCCAUACCCCAACUCUAUUUUGCAUUUUAUUUAGAAAUAGGGUCUCACUGAGUUGCUUAGCUCCUCACUUUUGCUGAGGCUGGAUUUGAACUCCCAAUCCUCUUGCCUCAGCCUCCAACUCCUCUGGGAUUACAGGUGUGGGCAACUGCGCCCAGCUCUUAUUCUUUUAAUAGCUGUAGGAUCUCUG
rnacentral:lncRNA from 1 species